rnacentral:rRNA from 1 species
UACGUAGGGUGCGAGCGUUAAUCGGAAUUACUGGGCGUAAAGCGUGCGCAGGCGGUUUUGUAAGCCAGAUGUGAAAUCCCCGGGCUUAACCUGGGAAUGGCAUUUGGGACUGCAAGGCUGGAGUGCGGCAGAGGAGACUGGAAUUCCUGGUGUAGCAGUGAAAUGCGUAGAUAUCAGGAGGAACACCGAUAGCGAAGGCAGCUCGCUGGGACGGUACUGACGCUGAGGCGCGAAAGCGUGGGGAGCGAACAGG